rnacentral:lncRNA from 1 species
AUCAACAGUCGUGCUUUCUGAGAUCGGGUCUUUUCCUUUCCAAUUUGGAGCAGCCCAUCUUUCGUUUGUUGUGCUCACCAUACUGGCAGCUUCUCCAAUUCCUAUUAUUCGAUUCUUCUUAUUUUUGCCGAAAGUCUUGUUGAUCGUCGCUUCGAUAAAUUGCUGCGUUAUAAAAAAAAAAAUAAGAAAAACGAAAUAUAAUUAAAAUAAUCAAUGGAACUUACAAAUGGAGUCAUUGAUUCAGAUUCAGCCCACGAUUUUGCCUCUGGACUUUUGAUAAAUUCCGUGGCUUCAAGCUGAAAGAAUAGCAAAAUCAAACAAUGAAAAUAGAAAUUAUAAAAUAUAAAUAAUUUUUAAAAAAUACUUACAACUUUAUCGCUUCCUUUAUAUGUCAUUUGUAAAGUCUCUGACCAAGCUUCGACUUCACUCCUUCCUUGUUGCAUCUAUAUUCACAUAAAUCAUUAAUAUAUAAAAAAAAGAUAUAAAUUAUAAAUAAAUUACCAAUUCAUGACGUCUUUGCGCUAAUCCUUUUGAACCAGCGUGAUGUGUCAUUUGAUUCGCUCGGUUCGCGGUAUUUAUCUCGGAAAUUUGCUGAAAUUAAAAAAAAUAAUAAGUUUCAAAAUUUAUUAAUAUAAUAAAUAUAUAUAUAUAUACAUAUACGUACCUUUCCUUUUUCCGAACGAUGCUGUCUCAAUUUAUUUAGAAAUUGUGGUUUGCUGACAUACGGUGGAAGAGUCGCUAAAAUGUCUUCUUCUCUCAUAUCAGGAUCAGAGCCAUAAGUUUUAACCAAAGAAUUAUGGUUGCUCCUCCAGAGUUUGUUCAGCCAUCUUGGACACCGCCAUAAAACCCAUAAACCGCCAUCUAAAGCCCGCCAUCUAUUAUCCAUCCCCAUUUCCCACCAAAAAUAGUAUAGAUGGCGGAAAUCCGCCAUCUAAUCUUAAAAUUUUGGCGCGAAUUGAAAAGUUUCCGCCAUCUAAAAUAUGGCGCGGAAAUAGUUUGGCGCCAAUUCAUUGAUGGCGGUUAAUUUCAUUGACGGCGGAUGUCCGCCGACUAUCCUUGGAACUUUAGAUGGCGGAUUUCCGCCAUCUAAAGUUACGCAGUCGGUUUCAUUAGUUUAUAGACGGCGGAUAUCCGCCAUCUAUUCGUGGGAGAGGGGGAUUGUGCCCAGCUUUAGAUGGCGGAUUUCCGCCAUCUAAAACUUAGUAGAAGAGUAUAGAUGGCGGAAAUCCGCCAUACAAUGUUUGUUUAAUUUUUUUUUAAAACAGGAUUCUAUAUUGUGCGUUCGAAUCGUCGUUUUUUGAAAUAAAAUCGAUAUUUGAGAAAACGAUUUUGAAAUAGAAAUUGAAAUCGAUGUUUUUUAUUAAAAAGAAAUUAAAUUACAGAAUCGUUAAACAUUCGAAGUUUUAAUAAGAAAAAUAUAAUCGUUUAAUCAACACUCGUCUGAAAGCGAGUCUUCUGAAUCAGAAUCAGAAUUAUCUGAUCCGAAUGCAGACGGUAUUGUUGACUUUGAAGUAGAAGCCAUCUGCGUCAUGUCGAGUCCAGAAGUCUUCAAAGUCUUAUUCAGUUUCUUCAUAUAUGAUUUCAUAGCAUUGAACUUCUUCUUGUAUUUGGAGACGUCUUUUUGACUCUCGUUACACUUGUUCUGAAAAUGAAAACAAAAAUGAGUUCGGUAAUCAAUAAAAUUAUUGAAAUAUAUUGUAAAUACCUCCAAUGCUUUGAAUUUUUCCGACCAAACUGCAUCUGGUGUUGCAUCAACAGUCGUGCUUUCUGAGAUCGGGUCUUUUCCUUUCCAAUUUGGAGCAGCCCAUCUUUCGUUUGUUGUGCUCACCAUACUGGCAGCUUCUCCAAUUCCUAUUAUUCGAUUCUUCUUAUUUUUGCCGAAAGUCUUGUUGAUCGUCGCUUCGAUAAAUUGCUGCGUUAUAAAAAAAAAAUAAGAAAAACGAAAUAUAAUUAAAAUAAUCAAUGGAACUUACAAAUGGAGUCAUUGAUUCAGAUUCAGCCCACGAUUUUGCCUCUGGACUUUUGAUAAAUUCCGUGGCUUCAAGCUGAAAGAAUAACAAAAUCAAACAAUGAAAAUAGAAAUUAUAAAAUAUAAAUAAUUUUUAAAAAAUACUUACAACUUUAUCGCUUCCUUUAUAUGUCAUUUGUAAAGUCUCUGACCAAGCUUCGACUUCACUCCUUCCUUGUUGCAUCUAUAUUCACAUAAAUCAUUAAUAUAUAAAAAAAAGAUAUAAAUUAUAAAUAAAUUACCAAUUCAUGACGUCUUUGCGCUAAUCCUUUUGAACCAGCGUGAUGUGUCAUUUGAUUCGCUCGGUUCGCGGUAUUUAUCUCGGAAAUUUGCUGAAAUUAAAAAAAAUAAUAAGUUUCAAAAUUUAUUAAUAUAAUAAAUAUAUAUAUAUAUACAUAUACGUACCUUUCCUUUUUCCGAACGAUGCUGUCUCAAUUUAUUUAGAAAUUGUGGUUUGCUGACAUACGGUGGAAGAGUCGCUAAAAUGUCUUCUUCUCUCAUAUCAGGAUCAGAGCCAUAAGUUUUAACCAAAGAAUUAUGGUUGCUCCUCCAGAGUUUGUUCAGCCAUCUUGGACACCGCCAUUAAAACCCAUAAACCGCCAUCUAAAGACCGCCAUCUAUUAUCCAUCCCCAUUUCCCACCAAAAAUAGUAUAGAUGGCGGAAAUCCGCCAUCUAAUCUGAAAAUUUUAGCGCGAAUUGAAAAGUUUUAGAUGGCGGAAAUCCGCCAUCUAAAAUAUGGCGCGGAAAUAGUUUGGCGCCAAUUCAUUGAUGGCGGAUGUCCGCCGACUAUCCUUGGAACUUUAGAUGGCGGAUUUCCGCCAUCUAAAGUUACGCAGUCGGUUUCAUUAGUUUAUAGACGGCGGAUAUCCGCCAUCUAUUCGUGGGAGAGGGCGAUUGUGCCCAGCUUUAGAUGGCGGAUUUCCGCCAUCUAAAACUUAGUAGAAGAGUAUAGAUGGCGGAAAUCCGCCAUACAAUGUUUGUUUAAUUUUUUUUUAAAACAGGAUUCUAUAUUGUGCGUUCGAAUCGUCGUUUUUUGAAAUAAAAUCGAUAUUUGAGAAAACGAUUUUGAAAUAGAAAUUGAAAUCGAUGUUUUUUAUUAAAAAGAAAUUAAAUUACAGAAUCGUUAAACAUUCGAAGUUUUAAUAAGAAAAAUAUAAUCGUUUAAUCAACACUCGUCUGAAAGCGAGUCUUCUGAAUCAGAAUCAGAAUUAUCUGAUCCGAAUGCAGACGGUAUUGUUGACUUUGAAGUAGAAGCCAUCUGCGUCAUGUCGAGUCCAGAAGUCUUCAAAGUCUUAUUCAGUUUCUUCAUAUAUGAUUUCAUAGCAUUGAACUUCUUCUUGUAUUUGGAGACGUCUUUUUGACUCUCGUUACACUUGUUCUGAAAAUGAAAACAAAAAUGAAUUCGGUAAUCAACAAAAUUAUUGAAAUAUAUUGUAAAUACCUCCAAUGCUUUGAAUUUUUCCGACCAUACUGCAUCUGGUGUUGAAUCAACAGUCGUUCUUUCUGAGGUCGGCUCUUUUCCUUUCCAAUUUGGAGAAGCCCAUCUUUCGUUUGUUGUGCUCACCAUACUGGCAGCUUCUCCAAUUCCUAUUAUUCGAUUCUUCUUAUUUUUGCCGAAAGUCUUGUUGACCGUCGCUUCGAUAAAUUGCUGCGUUAUAAAAAAAAAAUAAGAAAAACGAAAUAUAAUUAAAAUAAUCAAUGGAACUUACAAAUGGAGUCAUUGAUUCAGAUUCAGCCCAAGAUUUUGCCUCUGGACUUUUGAUAAAUUCCGUGGCUUCAAGCUGAAAGAAUAGCAAAAUCAAACAAUGAAAAUAGAAAUUAUAAAAUAUAAAUAAUUUUAAAAGAAUACUUACAACUUUAUCGCUUCCUUUAUAUGUCAUUUGUAAAGUCUCUGACCAAGCUUCGACUUCACUCCUUCCUUGUUGCAUCUAUAUUCACAUAAAUCAUUAAUAUAUAAAAAAAAAGAUAUAAAUUAUAAAAAAAUUACCAAUUCAUAACGUCUUUGCG